rnacentral:rRNA from 1 species
UACGGAGGGUGCGAGCGUUAAUCGGAAUUACUGGGCGUAAAGCGUACGCAGGCGGUUUGUUAAGCUAGAUGUGAAAGCCCCGGGCUCAACCUGGGAUGGUCAUUUAGAACUGGCAGACUAGAGUCUUGGAGAGGGGAGUGGAAUUCCAGGUGUAGCGGUGAAAUGCGUAGAUAUCUGGAGGAACAUCAGUGGCGAAGGCGACUCCCUGGCCAAAGACUGACGCUCAUGUGCGAAAGUGUGGGUAGCGAACAGG